UACGUAGGGGGCGAGCGUUGUCCGGAUUUAUUGGGCGUAAAGAGCUCGUAGGCGGCUUAGUAAGUCGGGUGUGAAACCUCCAGGCUCAACCUGGAGACGCCACCCGAUACUGCUGUGGCUUGAGUCCGGUAGGGGAGCGUGGAAUUCCUGGUGUAGCGGUGAAAUGCGCAGAUAUCAGGAGGAACACCAGCGGCGAAGGCGGCGCUCUGGGCCGGAACUGACGCUGAGGAGCGAAAGCGUGGGUAGCAAACAGG
rnacentral:rRNA from 1 species